GACGAACGCUGGCGGCGUGCUUAACACAUGCAAGUCGAACGGUGAAGCGCCUUCCUUUUUGGUGGGUGUGGUUGAGUGGCGAACGGGUGAGUAACACGUGAGUAACCUGCCUCCUUCUUCUGGAUAACCGCAUGAAAGUGUGGCUAAUACGGGAUAUUCUGGGUCUGUCGCAUGAUGGGUCUGGGAAAGAUAUUGUUUCGGUGGGGGAUGGGCUCGCGGCCUAUCAGCUUGUUGGUGGGGUGAUGGCCUACCAAGGCGGUGACGGGUAGCCGGCCUGAGAGGGUGGACGGUCACACUGGGACUGAGACACGGCCCAGACUCCUACGGGAGGCAGCAGUGGGGAAUAUUGCACAAUGGGCGCAAGCCUGAUGCAGCGACGCCGCGUGAGGGAUGGAGGCCUGCGGGUUGUGAACCUCUUUCGCCAGUGAAGCAGGCCUGCCUCGUUUGUGGGUGGGUUGACGGUAGCUGGAUAAGAAGCGCCGGCUAACUACGUG
rnacentral:rRNA from 1 species